rnacentral:sRNA from 1 species
AUCCCCCAAACCAAGGGGGGGAUGAGAACCACCGACCGGGGUUCGACAACUGGCGCAGCCAGUUGGACAGACGACGAGCCGGCGAGGAGACUGCCCGAAGGGCGAGCGCAGCGAGUCAAUCCCCCCCUCACCGCCA